rnacentral:rRNA from 1 species
CCCAGACUCCUACGGGAGGCAGCAGUGGGGAAUAUUGCACAAUGGGGGGAACCCUGAUGCAGCGACGCCGCGUGAGUGAAGAAGUAUUUCGGCAUGUAAAGCUCUAUCAGCAGGGAAGAAAAUGACGGUACCUGACUAAGAAGCCCCGGCUAACUACGUGCCAGCAGCCGCGGUAAUACGUAGGGGGCAAGCGUUAUCCGGAUUUACUGGGUGUAAAGGGAGCGCAGACGGCUGUGCAAGUCUGGAGUGAAAGGCGGGGGCCCAACCCCCGGACUGCUCUGGAAACUGUAAAGCUGGAGUGCAGGAGAGGUAAGCGGAAUUCCUAGUGUAGCGGUGAAAUGCGUAGAUAUUAGGAGGAACACCAGUGGCGAAGGCGGCUUACUGGACUGUAACUGACGUUGAGGCUCGAAAGCGUGGGGAGCAAACAGGAUUAGAUACCCUCGUAAAU